rnacentral:rRNA from 1 species
ACGGGUGAGUAAUACAUCGGAACGUAUCCUGGAGUGGGGGAUAGCCCGGCGAAAGCCGGAUUAAUACCGCAUACGCUCUGAGGAGGAAAGCGGGGGACCUUCGGGCCUCGCGCUCAAGGGGCGGCCGAUGGCGGAUUAGGUAGUUGGUGGGGUAAAGGCCUACCAAGCCGACGAUCCGUAGCUGGUCUGAGAGGACGACCAGCCACACUGGGACUGAGACACGGCCCAGACUCCUACGGGAGGCAGCAGUGGGGAAUUUUGGACAAUGGGGGCAACCCUGAUCCAGCAAUGCCGCGUGUGUGAAGAAGACCUUCGGGUUGUAAAGCACUUUUGUCCGGAAAGAAAUCAUCGGGGCCAAUACCCCUGGUGGAUGACGGUACCGGAAGAAUAAGCACCGGCUAACUACGUGCCAGCAGCCGCGGUAAUACGUAGGGUGCGAGCGUUAAUCGGAAUUACUGGGCGUAAAGCGUGCGCAGGCGGUGCUGUAAGACCGAUGUGAAAUCCCCGGGCUUAACCUGGGAACUGCAUUGGUGACUGCAGCGCUGGAGUAUGGCAGAGGGGGGUGGAAUUCCACGU